UACGGGGGGGGGCAAGCGUUGUUCGGAAUUACUGGGCGUAAAGGGCUCGUAGGCGGCCAACUAAGUCAGACGUGAAAUCCCUCGGCUUAACCGGGGAACUGCGUCUGAUACUGGAUGGCUUGAGUUCGGGAGAGGGAUGUGGAAUUCCAGGUGUAGCGGUGAAAUGCGUAGAUAUCUGGAGGAACACCGGUGGCGAAGGCGGCAUCCUGGACCGAUACUGACGCUGAGGAGCGAAAGCCAGGGGAGCAAACGGGG
rnacentral:rRNA from 1 species